rnacentral:rRNA from 1 species
AGGCUUAUCUCCCCCAAGAGUCCACAUCGACGGGGAGGUUUGGCACCUCGAUGUCGGCUCAUCACAUCCUGGGGCUGUAGUAGGUCCCAAGGGUUGGGCUGUUCGCCCAUUAAAGUGGUACGCGAGCUGGGUUCAGAACGUCGUGAGACAGUUCGGUCCCUAUCCGUCGCAGGCGUAGGAAAUUUGAGAAGACCUGUCCUUAGUACGAGAGGACCGGGAUGGACGUACCUCUGGUGUACCAGUUGUCCUGCCAAGGGCAUGGCUGGGUAGCUAUGUACGGAAUGGAUAAGCGCUGAAAGCAUCUAAGCGCGAAGCCAACUUCAAGAUAAGAUUUCCCACCGCAAGGGUAAGACCCCAGAAAGACUAUCUGGUUGAUAGGUCGAAGGUGUAAGUGCAGUAAUGUAUUUAGCUUAUCGAUACUAAUAGGUCGAGGACUUGACCAAU